rnacentral:misc_RNA from 1 species
GAUGAAGAACGUAGCGAAAUGCGAUAAGUAGUGUGAAUUGCAGAAUUCAGUGAAUCAUCGAAUUUUUGAACGCACAUUGCGCCCGCCAGUAUUCUGGCGGGCAUGCCUGUUCGAGCGUCAUUUCAACCAUCAAGCCCCCGGCUUGUGUUGGGGACCUGCGGCUGCCGCAGGCCCUGAAAACCAGUGGCGGGCUCGCUAGUCACUCCGAGCGUAGUAAUACAUCUCGCUCAGGGCGUGCUGCGGGUUCCGGCCGUUAAAAAGCCUUAUUUACCCAAGGUUGACCUCGGAUCAGGUAGGAAGACCCGCUGAACUUAAGCAUAUCAAUAAGCGGAGGA